rnacentral:rRNA from 1 species
CGGCGGACGGGUGAGUAGUGCCUAGGAAUCUGCCUGGUAGUGGGGGACAACGUUUCGAAAGGAACGCUAAUACCGCAUACGUCCUACGGGAGAAAGCAGGGGACCUUCGGGCCUUGCGCUAUCAGAUGAGCCUAGGUCGGAUUAGCUAGUUGGUGAGGUAAUGGCUCACCAAGGCGACGAUCCGUAACUGGUCUGAGAGGAUGAUCAGUCACACUGGAACUGAGACACGGUCCAGACUCCUACGGGAGGCAGCAGUA